rnacentral:ncRNA from 1 species
CACUCUGGAGAAUCCCGGCAAGCGGGUGCCGAAGGGGCAACAGAUGAUGUCAGAUCAUUUGAAUCUCUCAGGCAAAAGGACAGAGCA